rnacentral:rRNA from 1 species
CUCAAAGGAAUUGACGGGGCCCGCACAAGCGGUGGAGCAUGUGGUUUAAUUCGAUGAUACGCGAGGAACUUACCUGGGCUCGAACGUAAGAUGACUGUAGGUGAAAGCUUACAUCUCUUCGGAGCAUUUUACGAGGUGCUGCAUGGUUGUCGUCAGCUCGUGCCGUGAGGUGUCGGGUUAAGUCCCAUAACGAGCGCAACCCCUACCUUUAGUUGCCAUCAGGUUAAGCUGGGGACUCUAAAGGAACUGCCUACGCAAGUAGUGAGGAAGGCGGGGAUGACGUCAAAUCAGCACGGCCCUUACGUCCAGGGCUACACACGUGCUACAAUGGCCGAUACAGAGGGCAGCUACCUGGUGACAGGAUGCAAAUCUCCAAAGUCGGUCUCAGUUCGGAUCGGAGUCUGCAACCCGACUCCGUGAAGUUGGAUUCGCUAGUAAUCGCGCAUCAGCCAUGGCGCGGUGAAUACGUUCCCGGGCCUU